UACGGAGGGUGCAAGCGUUGUUCGGAAUUACUGGGCGUAAAGGGCGCGUAGGCGGCUGGAUAAGUCAGAUGUGAAAUCCCACGGCUCAACUGUGGAAGUGCAUUUGAAACUGUCUGGCUUGAGUAUCGGAGGGGAAAGUGGAAUUCCCGGUGUAGAGGUGAAAUUCGUAGAGAUCGGGAGGAACACCGGUGGCGAAGGCGACUUUCUGGACGAAUACUGACGCUGAGGCGCGAAAGCGUGGGGAGCAAACAGG
rnacentral:rRNA from 1 species